GACGUAGGGCGCAAGCGUUGUCCGGAUUUAUUGGGCGUAAAGAGCUCGUAGGCGGCUCGUUGCGUCGGCUGUGAAAACCCGCAGCUCAACUGUGGGCUUGCAGCCGAUACGGGCGGGCUGGAGUUCGGUAGGGGAGACUGGAAUUCCUGGUGUAGCGGUGAAAUGCGCAGAUAUCAGGAGGAACACCGGUGGCGAAGGCGGGUCUCUGGGCCGAUACUGACGCUGAGGAGCGAAGGCGUGGGGAGCGAACAGG
rnacentral:rRNA from 1 species